AGGAAAGUCCACGGGAUUUAAGAGCUCCAUGUCAGGAACGAGAGUGAAGACCAAACAUUAGAACCAAAGAUUCUCCUAGCACCCCUGUAACUCAGGAAAUUACAAGGGUGUUGGGAGCUCUAGGCCAGAGACUAGAGGCAGAGACCAUAUAUAUAUUUCUUACUUCACAACAGGAAAGGAGAGAAGGUCUCUGAGGAAGUGACAUUCCAGCUGAGACGUGAAGGAUAAGUAGAAACCAAGCAGAAGAAUUGGAAGAGGAAAGGGAAGAGGGAAAAGCCUGUGCCAAUGCCCUGAGAUUGGAAUAUGCUUUUUGUGUUUAAGAAAUUAACAGAAGAUCUUGGGGACUGAGCCAGAGAGAAGACCAGGCUCCAGGAACAAGGAAGAUACUGUCCAGAAAUGGUUUAUUCAUAGCAACUUCAAGGAGAAGCACAUCUCUGGCUGCCCUCAGUACACUAAGAGAAUCAGACCUCAGAGGUGGCUG
rnacentral:lncRNA from 1 species